rnacentral:rRNA from 1 species
UACGGAGGGAGCUAGCGUUGUUCGGAAUUACUGGGCGUAAAGCGCACGUAGGCGGCUAUUCAAGUCGGGGGUGAAAGCCCGGGGCUCAACCCCGGAACUGCCCUCGAAACUAGGUAGCUAGAAUCUUGGAGAGGCGAGUGGAAUUCCGAGUGUAGAGGUGAAAUUCGUAGAUAUUCGGAAGAACCCCAGUGUCGAAGGCGACUCGCUGGACAAGUAUUGACGCUGAGGUGCGAAAGCGUGGGGAGCAAACAGG